rnacentral:rRNA from 1 species
CAGCAGCCACGGUAAUACGAAGGGGGCUAGCGUUGUUCGGAUUUACUGGGCGUAAAGGGCGCGUAGGCGGGCUGAUAAGUCAGGGGUGAAAUCCCAAGGCUCAACCUUGGAACUGCCUUUGAUACUGUUUGUCUUGAGUUCGAGAGAGGUAAGUGGAACUGCGAGUGUAGAGGUGAAAUUCGUAGAUAUUCGCAAGAACACCAGUGGCGAAGGCGGCUUACUGGCUCGAAACUGACGCUGAGGCGCGAAAGCGUGGGGAGCAAACAGGAUUAGAUACCCCGGUAGUCCCUGUCUCUUAUAC